rnacentral:rRNA from 1 species
AUACGUAGGGGGCGAGCGUUGUCCGGAUUUACUGGGCGUAAAGGGUGAGUAGGCGGUUAUAUAUGUCAGGUGUAAAAAGCUAUGGCUUAACCAUAGUAAGCACUUGAAACUGUAUGACUUGAGUGCAGGAGAGGUAAGCGGAAUUCCUAGUGUAGCGGUGAAAUGCGUAGAUAUUAGGAGGAACACCGGUGGCGAAAGCGGCUUACUGGACUGUAACUGACGCUGAGUCACGAAAGCGUGGGUAGCAAACAGGAUUAGAUACCCUGGUAGUCCACGCCGUAAACGAUGAGUGCUAGGUGUUGGGCAGCAAUGCUCAGUGCCGAAGUAAACACAAUAAGCACUCCGCCUGGGGAGUACGUACGCAAGUAUGAAACUCAAAUGAAUUGACGGGG